rnacentral:rRNA from 1 species
UGCCAGACUCCUACGGGAGGCAGCAGUGAGGAAUAUUGGUCAAUGGUCGGGAGACUGAACCAGCCAAGCCGCGUGAGGGAGGAAGGUACAGAGUAUCGUAAACCUCUUUUGUCAGGGAACAAAGGCGGGGACGUGUCCCCGGAUGAGUGUACCUGAAGAAAAAGCAUCGGCUAACUCCGUGCCAGCAGCCGCGGUAAUACGUAGGGAGCAAGCGUUAUCCGGAUUUACUGGGUGUAAAGGGCGCGUAGGCGGGAUGGCAAGUCAGAUGUGAAAUCCAGGGGCUCAACCCCUGAACUGCAUUUGAAACUGUCGUUCUUGAGUACUGGAGAGGUUGACGGAAUUCCUAGUGUAGCGGUGAAAUGCGUAGAUAUUAGGAGGAACACCAGUGGCGAAGGCGGUCAACUGGACAGCAACUGACGCUGAGGCGCGAAAGCGUGGGGAGCAAACAGGAUUAGAUACCCGAGUAC